UCGGAGGGCGUCCACUGUGCGGCUCCUUGCAACCCCCCUGGGGUCUGUUUUGGUUUCCCUCUCUCCCCCAUGGGGUUGUGGGUGGCGCUCCCUUCGGAUUUUCUAACGGCUCUGCAGACCUCUGGUCAUUACAAAACCCACUUCAUUCGUUAACGAAUCAACCAUCCCCCUGAAGAGACCACUUAGAGGUCGAAACGCGUCAGGGAACGCACAUCACACAGCAUAAAGCAAUGUUGUAAACAUUUGUCCAAUAUUGUGGAAUAUGUAUUGUAUCACCAGAUCCGUAAAGGGUUUUCUUUUAAUUGUUAUUGCAUUUAAAAUGUAUGUUAUUGACAACCAUAAAAUAAACCAUGUUUUAUUAUA